AGCCCUGUCUGGGCCUGCCAGUGAUGGCUUCUGGGAGUCCAGUGUCUGGAGUGGGGCAGGAAGACUACCGCUAUGUCUAUUUUGUUCCUCUUUGAAAAGCAGACUUCAAUUGAGUUGUCACAGGUGUGGACAGGGAGCACAGAAGGCAGGCAUUGUACUCACAAAUUAAAAUAGCCCAGUUGGGUUUGGACCUCCAGUCCCUGGAGUACAUUUCUAGACUAAAAGAUUUGGAGGGGGUGGCUAAGUAUUAGUCUGGCACAGUUUUGCAUUCAGCUUGUUUGAAAGAUGGUCUGUUUCUGGAGACCUCAGAUCUGAUGGUGUUGGGGUCUUUGAUGGGAGGGAGAAUUGAAUGCUUGCCAAAAAAAGUAAUCUGAAACCCCUACCCUUCACUCUCCAGCUUGGAGACCACUGAUUCUCCCAAAGAAAUUGUGAUUUAGAUGUGGUCUUCAGCUGUGGACAGAAAGCAUGAAACCCAAUCUCUCCACUAGGUGCACUUCAAUGGGACAAACGACACUGCCCCUUUAAAGCCCCAGAAGCUUCUGGACCUCUCCUUACCCCAUGUAAAACCCGUGGACACCACUUCCUAUAGGCUGUGGAGAAGAGAUGGAGUAUGCUUCUCUGGAGGUUUGAUGAAUGAACUGAGGGCCAGUCAAAUAACUUGC